rnacentral:rRNA from 1 species
GAGGACCAUCUCCUAAGGCUAAAUACUCUCUAGUGACCGAUAGUGAACCAGUACCGUGAGGGAAAGGUGAAAAGCACCCCGGAAGGGGAGUGAAAUAGAACCUGAAACCGUGUGCUUACAAGUAGUCAGAGCCCGUUAAUGGGUGAUGGCGUGCCUUUUGUAGAAUGAACCGGCGAGUUACGAUUUGAUGCAAGGUUAAGCAGUAAAUGUGGAGCCGUAGCGAAAGCGAGUCUGAAUAGGGCGUUUAGUAUUUGGUCGUAGACCCGAAACCAGGUGAUCUACCCUUGGUCAGGUUGAAGUUCAGGUAACACUGAAUGGAGGACCGAACCGACUUACGUUGAAAAGUGAGCGGAUGAACUGAGGGUAGCGGAGAAAUUCCAAUCGAACCUGGAGAUAGCUGGUUCUCUCCGAAAUAGCUUUAGGGCUAGCCUCAAGUGAUGAUUAUUGGAGGUAGAGCACUGUUUGGACGAGGGGCCCCUCUCGGGUUACCGAAUUCAGACAAACUCCGAAUGCCAAUUAAUUUAACUUGGGAGUCAGAACAUGGGUGAUAAGGUCCGUGUUCGAAAGGGAAACAGCCCAGACCACCAGCUAAGGU